AUGGCAAUCCUUCUGGUGAUCGUGUGCUGCUGCUCCCUGUUGCCAUUCCAAUGCUCUGCCGUUUGCAAAGGGCGUGCAUUUGGCCACUUUGGUCAGGGGGCUGAGGCCGGGCCAAGGGGAGGAGGAGACCAAUUUGAUCAGGGGGGUGGGGAGGGAGGGCCUGGGAGAGGAGGAAACCAAUUUGAUCAGGCAGCGCCAGGGGCAGGAGGAAAUCAUGUGGGUGAGGGGGUUGGGUUGAGUGGAGGAAACCAAGUAGGACGGACGCCUCCGGCGCCGCGGGGUAAGACACCGAGGAACCACAGGUGA
rnacentral:rRNA from 1 species